rnacentral:rRNA from 1 species
GAUGAACGCUGGCGGCGUGCUUAACACAUGCAAGUCGAACGGUGAAGGCGGAGCUUGCUCUGCUGGAUCAGUGGCGAACGGGUGAGUAACACGUGAGCAAUCUGCCCCUGACUCUGGGAUAAGCGCUGGAAACGGCGUCUAAUACUGGAUACGAGCUGCGAAGGCAUCUUCAGCAGCUGGAAAGAAUUUCGGUCAGGGAUGAGCUCGCGGCCUAUCAGCUUGUUGGUGAGGUAAUGGCUCACCAAGGCGUCGACGGGUAGCCGGCCUGAGAGGGUGACCGGCCACACUGGGACUGAGACACGGCCCAGACUCCUACGGGAGGCAGCAGUGGGGAAUAUUGCACAAUGGGCGAAAGCCUGAUGCAGCAACGCCGCGUGAGGGACGACGGCCUUCGGGUUGUAACCCUCUUUUAGCAGGGAAGAAGCGAAAGUGACGGUACCUGCAGAAAAAGCGCCGGCUAACUACGUG